CCUACGGGCGGCUGCAGUGGGGAAUAUUGCACAAUGGGGGAAACCCUGAUGCAGCGACGCCGCGUGAGUGAAGAAGUAAUUCGUUACGUAAAGCUCUAUCAGCAGGGAAGAAACACUGACCUUACGGUCAGCAGACGGUACCUGAGUAAGAAGCCCCGGCUAACUACGUGCCAGCAGCCGCGGUAAUACGUAGGGGACAAGCGUUAUCCGGAUUUACUGGGGGGAAAGGGAGCGUAGACGGGGCGCCAAGUCUGGAGUGAAAUGCCGCAGCUUAACUGGGGAACUGCUUUGGAAACUGGCGAACUAGAGUGCGGGUGGGGUAAGCGGAAUGUCUAGUGUAGCGGUGAAAUGCGUAGAUAUUAGGCGGAACACCGGUGGCGAAGGCGGCUUACUGGACCGUAACUGACGUUGAGGCUCGAAAGCGUGGGGAGCAAACAGGAUUAGAUACCCGGGUAGUC
rnacentral:rRNA from 1 species